AGAAUGUGGUAGUGGGUAUAAGGAUAAUCUGGCUUGAUCCUGAGGGUUGAUUCUGCUGAUCUGGCUGGCUAGGGGAGUGUCCCUUUCCCUCAAUAUUCUGCAUGCAUCCCUCCCAAAGCUACACACUUGGUUGAAGAGGACACACUUUGCCUAAUAGUAAAUCUCCUCCCCGAGAACAUCCAAAUAAGCUCUCAAGAAUGGUAAGUAAUGUUUAUUCACCUCUGGGUGUUCCUGUGAGGGUGUUUCCAGAGAUGGGUAGAUCAUAAAAUAUGGAAAGCCUUCUGGGGUGUCACUUGGCAGGAGUCUGACAUUGGCC
rnacentral:snRNA from 1 species